GACGAACGCUGGCGGCGUGCCUAAUACAUGCAAGUCGAACGCAGUGGGGACGGGUGAGUAACACGUGGGUAACCUCCCAUCAGAGGGGAUAACACUUGGAAACAGGUGCUAAACCGAUACUGAUGGAUGGACCCGCGUUGCAUUAGCUAGUUGGUGGGGUAACGGCUCACCAAGGCCAAGAUGCAUAGCCGACCUGUGUGGGUGAUCGGACGUACUGGGACGUAGACACGGCCCAGACUCCUACUGGAGGCAGCAGUAGGUAAGUUGCGGAAAUGGACGAAAGUCUGACCGAGCAACGCCGCGUGAGUGAAGAAGGUUUUCGGAUCGUAAAACUCUGUUGUUAGAGAAGCGGUAUCUAACCAGAAAGCCACGGCUAACUACGUGCCAGCAGCCGCGGUAAUAC
rnacentral:rRNA from 1 species